rnacentral:rRNA from 1 species
ACCGGAUAGGACCUUUAGGCGCAUGUCUUUAGGUGGAAAGCUUUUGCGGUGUGGGAUGGGCCCGCGGCCUAUCAGCUUGUUGGUGGGGUGAUGGCCUACCAAGGCGACGACGGGUAGCCGGCCUGAGAGGGUGUCCGGCCACACUGGGACUGAGAUACGGCCCAGACUCCUACGGGAGGCAGCAGUGGGGAAUAUUGCACAAUGGGCGCAAGCCUGAUGCAGCGACGCCGCGUGGGGGAUGACGGCCUUCGGGUUGUAAACCUCUUUCACCAUCGACGAAGGUCCGGGUUUUCUCGGAUUGACGGUAGGUGGAGAAGAAGCACCGGCCAACUACGUGCCAGCAGCCGCGGUAAUACGUAGGGUGCGAGCGUUGUCCGGAAUUACUGGGCGUAAAGAGCUCGUAGGUGGUUUGUCGCGUUGUUCGUGAAAUCUCACGGCUUAACUGUGAGCGUGCGGGCGAUACGGGCAGACUAGAGUACUGCAGGGGAGACUGGAAUUCCUGGUGUAGCGGUGGAAUGCGCAGAUAUCAGGAGGAACACCGGUGGCGAAGGCGGGUCUCUGGGCAGUAACUGACGCUGAGGAGCGAAAGCGUGGGGAGCGAACAGGAUUAGAUACCCUGGUAGUCCACGCCGUAAACGGUGGGUACUAGGUGUGGGUUUCCUUCCUUGGGAUCCGGUGCCGUAGCUAACGCAUUAAGUACCCCGCCUGGGGAGUACGGCCGCAAGGCUAAAACUCAAAGGAAUUGACGGGGGCCCGCACAAGCGGCGGAGCAUGUGGAUUAAUUCGAUGCAACGCGAAGAACCUUACCUGGGUUUGACAUGCACAGGACGCGUCUAGAGAUAGGCGUUCCCUUGUGGCCUGUGUGCAGGUGGUGCAUGGCUGUCGUCAGCUCGUGUCGUGAGAUGUUGGGUUAAGUCCCGCAACGAGCGCAACCCUUGUCUCAUGUUGCCAGCGGGUAAUGCCGGGGACUCGUGAGAGACUGCCGGGGUCAACUCGGAGGAAGGUGGGGAUGACGUCAAGUCAUCAUGCCCCUUAUGUCCAGGGCUUCACACAUGCUACAAUGGCCGGUACAAAGGGCUGCGAUGCCGCAAGGUUAAGCGAAUCCUUUUAAAGCCGGUCUCAGUUCGGAUUGGGGUCUGCAACUCGACCCCAUGAAGUCGGAGUCGCUAGUAAUCGCAGAUCAGCAACGCUGCGGUGAAUACGUUCCCGGGCCUUGUACACACCGCCCGUCACGUCAUGAAAGUCGGUAACACCCGAAGCCAGUGGCCUUAACC